rnacentral:lncRNA from 1 species
CAGUUUUUUUUACAAUUUAUGCAAAUAUAAAAUUUAUUAAAAUAAAUAUUAGCUAAAAUUUUAUAUUUGAAAAUUUAUCAAAUCACUUAAAUUAAAUAAAUUAUAAUUUUGGAUACUAAAAUUUAAAUUUUGAAAGAUUGAAUAAUUGAAUCAAACUGGACUAAAGUUAAGAUAAAUUAUAUAUAUACAUAUAUAUAUAUAUAGAGAGAGAGAGAGAGAGAGAGUGUUAGGCUCCUAUGCUUUCGAAAGUACGGAGGCCUGCGUGUUUAUAAGUUGUUUUCGAUGAUGGAGCAUCCGAUUCGGUGAUCGGCUCCGUUAGACAUGAUCUACACUAUUAGAAUUAUUUAGAACCCAAAUUUCAUAAUUUGGUAACUUCAUUUGCCUAAUGAACGAGUAGGCUCAAAAUAAACGGCUGAAAAUAAAAAUUUCACAAAAAAUAGUAUUAAAAAACUCAAAUUUCAAAUCAAAAGUAUUGUUCUUGUUCUUAAUGUUAAGUAGAAUUUUCUAUUAAAGUUUUAUAUAAUUUGGAUUCUUCUACACCGUUGAACUUUAAAAUACACCACAUCGGCCGUUAAAAUAGUCAUUUUUGAGACUCUUUAAUCACUUGGUAAAUGAUGUCAAAAAAUUAUGAAAUUUGGUUUCUAAAUAGUUCUAAUAACGUAGAUCAUGCCUAACGGAGCCGACUGCCGAAUCGGAUGCUUUAUCAUCAAAAACAACUUACAAGCACGGAAGGCUCCGUACUUUCGAAAGUAUACGAGACAUACACUCUCUCUCUCUCUCUCUCUCUCUCUCUCUCUCUCUCUCUCUCUCUCUCUCUAUAUAUAUAUAUAUAUAUAUAGUACGUCUCUUGCACAUGCUUCCAAAAGCACGAAGGUUUUCAUAUUUUUAUGUUAUUUUGGAUGAUGGGACGUCCGAUUCGAUGAUCGGCUUCGUCAGACAUGAUUUAUACUAUAAGAAUUAUAUGAAAACUAAAUUUUAUAAUUUUUCGACAUUAUUUGUAAAGUAAUCAAAUGGUCCAAAAAUGACUAUUUAAAGUUUUUAUCUGAGGUUACUUGUUCACUAAGUAAUAAAGUCAAAAAAUUAUGAAAUUUGAUUUUUAAAUAGUUUUAAUACUGUAGAUAUCAUGUCUAGUGAAAUUAAUCGCCAAAUCAAAUGUCUCGUCAUCAAAAAUAAUUUAAAGGUAUGGAUGCUUCUGUAUUUUCGAAAGUAUAGUAGCCUAUCGCUUCCUCUCUCUUAGUCUCUCUUUCUCUGUGUGUGCAUGUGUGUACAGAAUUGAGCUAAAAUACUAUCAAUAGCAAACGGAUUUCGUUGCUGUCAAUUUAGUUUUGAUAAUAAAGCUUCCAAAUGGAGAUCAACACCGUUAAAUAUAAUCUAUACUACUUGAAGUAUAUAGAAUCAAAAUUUAAAUAUUAUCUACAUCAUUGACCUAAUGAUCAAAAGAUUGAAAAUUUUAUAAUUUAAUGGUCGAUGUGAGACGUUAACUCGUUUAACUGUUAUAAAAAAAUCUAAAUCAAUUGAAUUUUAUUUAGAAGCUUCUUUAAAUUAUUUAAAAUAAGAUCUAUACUCUUGAUUUCGAUUACAAGGAUCCUAGUAUCACUUUUUAAAGGAUAUUUAUUUUUAACCAUUUAUUUUUAUGUCAAUGUGAUGCAUAGGAGAACAAUAUCCCGAAAAAAUAAAAUUAAUUUCUAGAUAUUUUCAGUGGUCUAGAUCUUGUUCAAUAGUGCCGAUCGUCAAUUCGGAAGCUCCAUCAAAAACAAAUUGAUUGCAAUAGAGUCCGUUUGUUAUAAAUAAUAUUCUAGCUCAACACAUAUAUAGUCAGACUGAGAUACUUUUAAUAGCACCAAACGCUUGGUGCAACCAACAUUUCACCAUUAAAUCUACUCCGUUGAUCAUAUCUAUCCUUAAAUCAUUACUAUUCCACUAACUAUCACUAAACCCUAAGAGGACGGUCACUAAAUUUAGAAGACCACUAUUAUCCUAACUUUAUAAUUUUUCAUCCAAAGAUUAUAAACUUAAAAGUAAAAAAAAUCCAAAUACUAUUAAAAAUAUUUUAGUCUAAUUCUACAGAGUUCUACCAGAAUAUUUCU